rnacentral:rRNA from 1 species
GCCGCCGCGGUAAUACGUAGGUGGCGAGCGUUAUCCGGAAUCAUUGGGCGUAAAGGGUGCGUAGGUGGCAGAAUAAGUCUGAAGUAAAAGGCUGCAGCUCAACUGCAGUAUGCUUUGGAAACUGUUCAGCUAGAGUGCGGAAGAGGGCGAUGGAAUUCCAUGUGUAGCGGUAAAAUGCGUAGAUAUAUGGAGGAACACCAGUGGCGAAGGCGGUCGCCUGGUCCGUAACUGACACUGAGGCACGAAAGCGUGGGGAGCAAAUAGGAUUAGAUACCCC